UACAGAGGCCUCGAGCGUUGUUCGGAAUUACUGGGCGUAAAGGGAAUGUAGGUGGUGAUGUAAGUCAGAUGUGAAAGCCCUGGGCUUAACCCGGGAAGUGCAUUUGAUACUGCAUUGCUAGAGUGCGAGAGAGGAGAGCGGAAUUCCAGGUGUAGGGGUGAAAUCCGUAGAUAUCAGGAGGAACACCGGUGGCGAAGGCGCUCAUCUGGCCCAAUACUGACGCUGAAGCGCGAAAGCUAGGGGAGCAAACGGG
rnacentral:rRNA from 1 species